UGCCCAGCAACUCCUAUCCCUACCUCCUCGUGGUACCGGCCGUGGUAGUUUCCAUGAGCAACCUUAGGGAAGAUCGGGUAACCAAUUCCGGUGGGAACUUUGGUCGUAGGCUGACAGGGAAGG
rnacentral:ribozyme from 1 species